CUGCGAAGGUGGCCUGUGAGGGUUGCUGGAGGUAUCAGAAGUGCGAAUGCUGACAUAAGUAACGAUAAAGCGGGUGAAAAGCCCGCUCGCCGGAAGACCAAGGGUUCCUGUCCAACGUUAAUCGGGGCAGGGUGAGUCGACCCCUAAGGCGAGGCCGAAAGGCGUAGUCGAUGGGAAACGGGUUAAUAUUCCCGUACUUGGUGUUACUGCGAAGGGGGGACGGAGAAGGCUAUGUUGGCCGGGCGACGGUUGUCCCGGUUUAAGCGUGUAGGUGUGUGUUCCAGGUAAAUCCGGUUCACUUUAACACUGAGGCGUGAUGACGAGGCACUACGGUGCUGAAGCAACAAAUGCCCUGCUUCCAGGAAAAGCCUCUAAGCAUCAGGUAACAUCAAAUCGUACCCCAAACCGACACAGGUGGUCAGGUAGAGAAUACCAAGGCGCUUGAGAGAACUCGGGUGAAGGAACUAGGCAAAAUGGUGCCGUAACUUCGGGAGAAGGCACGCUGACACGUAGGUGAAGUGAUUUACUCAUGGAGCUGAAGUCAGUCGAAGAUACCAGCUGGCUGCAACUGUUUAUUAAAAACACAGCACUGUGCAAACACGAAAGUGGACGUAUACGGUGUGACGCCUGCCCGGUGCCGGAAGGUUAAUUGAUGGGGUCAGCGCAAGCGAAGCUCCUGAUCGAAGCCCCGGUAAACGGCGGCCGUAACUAUAACGGUCCUAAGGUAGCGAAAUUCCUUGUCGGGUAAGUUCCGACCUGCACGAAUGGCGUAAUGAUGGCCAGGCUGUCUCCACCCGAGACUCAGUGAAAUUGAACUCGCUGUGAAGAUGCAGUGUACCCGCGGCAAGACGGAAAGACCCCGUGAACCUUUACUAUAGCUUGACACUGAACAUUGAGCCUUGAUGUGUAGGAUAGGUGGGAGGCUUUGAAGUGUGGACGCCAGUCUGCAUGGAGCCGGCCUUGAAAUACCACCCUUUAAUGUUUGAUGUUCUAACGUGGACCCGUGAUCCGGGUUGCGGACAGUGUCUGGUGGGUAGUUUGACUGGGGCGGUCUCCUCCUAAAGAGUAACGGAGGAGCACGAAGGUUGGCUAAUCCUGGUCGGACAUCAGGAGGUUAGUGCAAUGGCAUAAGCCAGCUUGACUGCGAGCGUGACGGCGCGAGCAGGUGCGAAAGCAGGUCAUAGUGAUCCGGUGGUUCUGAAUGGAAGGGCCAUCGCUCAACGGAUAAAAGGUACUCCGGGGAUAACAGGCUGAUACCGCCCAAGAGUUCAUAUCGACGGCGGUGUUUGGCACCUCGAUGUCGGCUCAUCACAUCCUGGGGCUGAAGUAGGUCCCAAGGGUAUGGCUGUUCGCCAUUUAAAGUGGUACGCGAGCUGGGUUUAGAACGUCGUGAGACAGUUCGGUCCCUAUCUGCCGUGGGCGCUGGAGAACUGAGGGGGGCUGCUCCUAGUACGAGAGGACCGGAGUGGACGCAUCACUGGUGUUCGGGUUGUCAUGCCAAUGGCACUGCCCGGUAGCUAAAUGCGGAAGAGAUAAGUGCUGAAAGCAUCUAAGCACGAAACUUGCCCCGAGAUGAGUUCUCCCUGAGACUUUAGGUCUCCUGAAGGAACGUUGAAGACGACGACGUUGAUAGGCCGGGUGUGUAAGCGCAGCGAUGCGUUGAGCUAACCGGUACUAAUGAACCGUGAGGCUUAACCUUACA
rnacentral:rRNA from 1 species